AGAGUUUGAUCAUGGCUCAGAAUGAACGCUGGCGGCGUGCCUAACACAUGCAAGUCGAGCGAGAAAGGUCUUCGGACCGAGUACAGCGGCGAACGGGUGAGUAACGCGUAGGAAUCUACCUUUUAGUGGAGAAUACCCUCGGGAAACCGAGGUUAAUACUGCAUAAGUCCCGUAAGGGAGAAAGAUGGCCUCUUUGCUGU
rnacentral:rRNA from 1 species